rnacentral:tRNA from 1 species
ACUAUUUUGGCAGAUGAGUGCGGUGGAUUUAGAAUCUAUUUAAGUGGAUAUGUUGUUUACACAGGUAGUA